CCGAGCAGACUGAAAAAAAAAACCACACACGGAGGACGGGCUCACCUCCUCUCCCUCUCGCCCACGAUGUCCUCGCCGCCGCCACCACCCAUGCCGUCCGCUUCCGGUGAGCUCCGGCGCCACGCACCAUGCCCCUGAGCUCCCAACGGUCCUCUCCUCGCUCCCCUCCAGCCAGAUUCUCUGCUCCCGGCCUCUACCGCCCGCUCGCAACCCCAUCCCCAUGGCUAGGGUUUCAAGCAGGGCUUCGCCGACGUCAAGGGCAUCUUCACGGAGAUGUGAAGGAUGCCAUGGACCUGCAGCUCCUCAUGGUUUUAUCAUGUUCCUAUCUCAUCCGCUCCCUUUCCCGUCCCUUCCCCAUCUCGGUUCCUUCCCUUCUUGCGCAGGUCAGCAGGGAGGAACUAUAGCCAGCAGCACCUCCUCACCUUGGAUGACGCCUCUGCUGUGCCAAAAUAGGGCAAGCAACCCCAUCUGCUCUCAAUCUCACCCAUUAGCACAAGUCCAGUUUUUUUGAACAAAAUUCUGCUACUACACGAACAAGUCCAUGAAUAGAUCUAUUUUUAUUUGUGAAUUGAUAUCCUUCCAAACACAAACAGUGUAUAUAUGUGUUGUUUUUAUUUUUGUACCCUUUUCAUUUUUGUGCUUUUAUAUGUAAGCUCAUAAAAUAGUUAUACUGAAAAUGACAUGUAAGUUCUUACUGUGGGAGUAUGACGACAUGAAAUUCUAACUGAAUUCUUUUCAGCUGGAAAACGCCUUUCUACAAAAAGGAAAUAAAUUAUUCAAUUCUUGGUUCCACAUAGUCCUAAUUGCUUACAGUUUUAUCUCUGUUCAAUCUAUCUUACUGAAUUUCUGAACAACCAGGGUUGCUAGCAUGCUGUGUGGUGGAUUUGUUUUUUUGAAAUUGUUUCACGGCUAUUUGAGUGCUUUUGUUCGUUCUGUUCAUCAGUUCUUUCUAGUAUAGUGACUCAAGAAGUGAUUCUUCUGCAAAGUGAUGUGCUCUCAAUCGAGCCAGGCUCCAGGAAAGGUGACCAAGUGGUGUGUGUUUACCUAGCCGAGCAUAAUCUGAACGACUCCAACUGUUGUGUACAAAUCCAGCUAUGCAAGUGCAAGUAAAACUACGGUGGUUGUUGCAUCCACAAGCUGAGUACAAGGCAGGCUGACUACUAGGAGCCAGUAUGACAAGUCUACAAAGAUCUCCAGUACUGACAAGGCUCAGUCUGUACAAGGGGGUGUCUCAGUCUGGUUUGCCGUAGGUCUUCAUCGCUAUGUUGAAUCACAUGCUCCUUAUAGUCUAAUGCAAGUUGCUCAUAUUCAGAAAAUUGGUUACUCUUGAAUGAGGAAAUAAGGUGCUGAUAUAAGCAUUAACAUUAGAGUUCACAAUCAGGAACUAACUAAAGCAUUAACAUUGUAUAGACUGUAUACAUUAAAACAAUCAGUGCCGAUGCUAAUUUCAGCCUUUUAUUUCUGGAGUCAAGGGAUAACCUUUAUUUGAAUGGUUAUAUUUUUAUUUCAAUUGGAAACAAUCUUGAUGCACCAUUGAAGUUAUUUAAUAAGAACUAUCAACUACUCCUUUUCUAUUUUUGCAUAUUAAUGGCCCCAGGUACUCAACUGAGGAACACACCAUGCCACUUCGAAUCAAUAUUAUCACCAUGUAUGGAAGAUACUAGGAACCAUGACUUUCUGAUGAAUAUUCUUAUGCCAUAGAAGUUUCUCACUUAUAUAAAUUAAAUUUAACUCACAAUAUAGAAUGCACUUAGUAAAAUAAAAAAUAUCAGAACAAAAGUAGAAAUUUUCCCCAAACAAUUAUGUUUACACUUCUCCUACUGUUUAGAGGUUGGUUUAGUUUUACCCUGUCAAGAAAAAAUCAUAUAUAGUUCUCCAGAAUUGGCCUGGCUUAUCACAUUACGAAGAUCCACACUGUGGUAGUUCCCUUUGUAAACAUGUACUUUCAAUCGUGGUGAUAUUUUUCAACCUAGAUGUACCACAUCAUGCAAGUUAGAUAAAGAAUACAAAUAAGAAAUAACUAGGCCAUAUUAAUGGUGGUUUCACUCUAAAUAGGACUAAGCAUAAGCUUGUAAAAUAAAGAGCACAUUAGUUGAUUCUCUACAUAUAAUAUCACUGCAUAUUACAUUCAGGUUGUAUAAGACUGAAUUUGUUUUUUCUGUUCGGUUCCGCAGAUGUCAGUGUGAACUGGUCACUGCUUUCGGAAAGUGUAGGUAAGUGGGUUACAUUUUAGAAGAUAACACAAUAUUGGUGAUGCCUUAUGGACACAUCGCUGUUAAGGAUAAUGCUUUUGCAAUGAGUAUUGACAUUUCUGGUUGGUAUAAUGCAACACGGUGGAAUCUCUUUGUAACAUUGCAACUGAAUAUCUUGCAUGCAAUUCAAGGUGUACAGUGAUGUCGAGUGCACCGGGUUUGCAGAGCUGCCCCAAGUGCAAGCUCUACAUUGACAGAGUGGAUGCUUGCACCUUGCGCCUGCAGGUAACUAUUGGUUCCCCAAGUCUCCUUCCUACGUGUGGGCACUGUAUUUGGUACUUGUGUGGAUCCACAAUUUCUAGGUUGUAGAAACUGCAGGACUACAUGGUGAUUUGUCAAUGAUCUUAAGUUGGCCGACUCUACUACAUGGAAAGAAUUAAUUAUGCAAAUCCAAACUAUUUCUGUAUAAAGACUGGAUACUACUGUUAAUACUGAUUUGGUUAACAACAUUUAGCUCAUGCAACUCUAAUGCCAGUUUGGCCAUCACUAUCAGAAGUAACACCUAUACAAGCUCUAUUAGUAAACAUCACAAUUCAUGAGUGUUGUUUGACAUCACAUUAGUGAGCUCCUCGCUCUUGUGAUCAUGUGUUAUGGAGUCAUAACCAUUUUCAGUUAUUUUCAUGCCAGCACAUUCGAUGUUUUCUGUUUAAUGUUAAAUCAUAACCAUUAAUUAGUCCAUCAAUGUCUUUUAGUAUGUGUUUUCACUGCAAAAGUUUAACCAUUGCAGUUUCCUGUGUGCAGAAGCUUGUAGUUUGUUAACUGAUUUCUGUGAUUUGUUUUCUGUAUGCAGCCCCCACUUAUGUGGAUGGUUCGGCAUAUCCAUAUAAGCUUUGUCUUGCAAUGAUGGUCCAAAGUUUCAAAAAAUAUAUUAUAUGAAGUUUCAAAUUACUUUUUAAAAGUUUGAUGCAUCUCAAGGACAGUUAGUGGUUGUGUCCGGUAUCUAAGUAGCACACAAUUGUUGAAGGGUCAUGACAGAAUCAGAAUUUCGCAUUCCUUUUCCAAGGUAGCAUGGAUUCGGGAACUUAUUCAUCAGACUAAUUAGAGAAUAUUUUUACUAAUCUGGGCCGGAUAACGUGGCGGCUCGAGUGACUAGGGGCGGCGCGGCUGCUAGAUGCAGAACAGCGGUGGAUGCUGGAGCUUGAAGGGUCCAGAUCCGUGCGCGGUAGGGGUUGGGGAGGCGGAUCCAGAGAUGGGCGACAAGGAGAGGGUCGCUGGUGACGACGAGGAAGACCGGAGCGCAUCUUCCCAGGUGGAUCCAUGGCAUCCAUGACUCCUGGGCAGAAAGGAGACAUGGAGGUGAGGGACAGAAGGAGGCGCGGUGCGGCGACCUUACGUAUUGAAAGUUCACUUCAAAAAUCUGGAGAACUAGCUGUAACCCCCUUCUCAUAUCCUUGCACAGUUAGGUACGUGCAGGACCUUGCAACAUUCAGUCAAGCAAGUAGCCGCUGCUGUUGGAACGCCGUUGUGUGGGCAGUGCUGAAGCAGUCGGCUCGUCCUCGGAUUAGAGCAGUGCCGAGUCCGCCUGGUCGUCCUCGCAGCGGGGAAGUCCCGAGGCUGCCGGGUCGCAAUCGAGUGCAGCAGCGCCGCGGCCACCGGUUCGCCGCCUGAUAGAACAACACCAAGGCUACCAGGCCAUCGUAGCGUCAAGCAGCACCGAGGGCCCAUCUUUUUUUUAUUUGUACUAUAACAAUAUGAAGUUUGUAUUUUAACAAUCUUUUAUUAUUUUACAUGUAUUAUGUCCAGCUUGCUGUUGCGAGUCCUUGUUUAUUCUUGUGACGAAUUUAACUAUGAUUUUCAGCU